AAUGCAUUACCGUAUACAGGGCCG
rnacentral:siRNA from 1 species